AGUGUUCUUUUGUCUAGUUGUUUAGCAGAGUGCAAUGCCCUGUAGUGUCAUCUUGAGGGAAGAAGUUGAAACAGCUUAUGUCCAGGAUGUGAGAAAGUAUCUGUAGAUAUUUUCACAGCCCUCUUUUUGGUUCGUGCAGUAUAAGGUCCUCAAUGAAAGGCAGGCUGGUUGCAAUUAUUUUUUCUGCAG